ensembl:snoRNA LOC120100208 small nucleolar RNA SNORA71
CCCUAUAUUCGAAAGUGAUUGUAGGUUGCCAGUGCCCUGGUCAUUGGUACUGAAGGGAGAGGAUGCAGAAAGUCUUUCCCCAUGUUUGGAGGACCCAACCUUAUCCUUGCCAAACCUUGGUGCUUUCCCACA